UACGUAGGGGGCGAGCGUUGUCCGGAAUCAUUGGGCGUAAAGAGCGUGUAGGCGGCCGUGUAGGUCUGACGUGAAAUCUGGAGGCUCAACCUCCAGCUGUCGUUGGAAACCGCUCGGCUAGAGUCCGGAAGAGGAGAGUGGAAUUCCUGGUGUAGCGGUGAAAUGCGCAGAUAUCAGGAAGAACACCUAUGGCGAAGGCAGCUCUCUGGGACGGUACUGACGCUGAGACGCGAAAGCGUGGGGAGCGAACAGG
rnacentral:rRNA from 1 species